UUCAACAAUGUAGAAAACAUUAUGUGGAUCUAGCUUUCAUGGCAGGAGAAAAAGAACAACAAAAAGAGGAAGAAGAGGAGAAAUUGCAGAAAAUAGUGCAACUAAUGAAAUAUGAACACGUCGUCUACCCCGUGAAAGGCUUUCCAGUUCAGAUCCGUCGUUUUCAAAUCUACUCCAGAUCUAAAAUGUUUCGAAGAGUAUGUCGACUGUACAUCAAUUGUUGUCAAUUAUAUGUUAAUUUGUAUAUCAAUUGUAUCUGAAUUGUAUGUCAUGCACAUCAAUUGUAUCACUUAUGUAUCUCUUGUGUUUUGCUUGUA